rnacentral:ncRNA from 2 species
CGAUAUUCUCAGGGCAGGGUGAAAGUCCCUACCGGUGGUCACAGCCCACGAGCGGCCCUUGGUUUGACAAGGGUGACAGCAGACCCGGCGCAAUUCCGGGGCCGACGGUUACAGUCCGGAUGAAAGAGAAUGGAG